UGGGGGAAUAUUGCACAAUGGGCGAAAGCCUGAUGCAGCAACGCCGCGUGAGCGAUGAAGGCCUUGGGUCGUAAAGCUCUGUCCUCAAGGAAGAUAAUGACGGUACUUGAGGAGGAAGCCCCGGCUAACUACGUGCCAGCAGCCGCGGUAAUACGUAGGGGGCUAGCGUUAUCCGGAAUUACUGGGCGUAAAGGGUGCGUAGGUGGUUUCUUAAGUCAGAGGUGAAAGGCUACGGCUCAACCGUAGUAAGCCUUUGAAACUGGGAAACUUGAGUGCAGGAGAGGAGAGCGGAAUUCCUAGUGUAGCGGUGAAAUGCGUAGAUAUUAGGAGGAACACCAGUGGCGAAGGCGGAUUGCUGGACAGUAACUGACGGUGAGGCGCGAAAGUGUGGGGAGCAAACAGGAUUAGAUACCCUGGUAGU
rnacentral:rRNA from 1 species